GAAACUCAAAGGAAUUGACGGGGGCCCGCACAAGCGGUGGAGCAUGUGGUUUAAUUCGAUGAUACGCGAGGAACCUUACCUGGGCUCAAAUGUAUGUUGACGUAUUCUGAAAGGGAUACUUCUUCGGACAAUAUACAAGGUGCUGCAUGGUUGUCGUCAGCUCGUGCCGUGAGGUGUCGGGUUAAGUCCCAUAACGAGCGCAACCCCUACUGCUAGUUGCCAGCGGGUCAUGCCGGGGACUCUAGCGGAACUGCCAGCGUAAGCUGCGAGGAAGGUGGGGAUGACGUCAAAUCAGCACGGCCCUUACGUCCAGGGCUACACACGUGUUACAAUGGCCAGUACAGAGGGCAGCCACCCGCGAGGGGCGCUAAUCCUAAAAGCUGGUCCCAGUUCGGAUCGGAGUCUGCAACCCGACUCCGUGAAGCUGGAUUCGCUAGUAAUCGCGCAUCAGCCACGGCGCGGUGAAUACGUUCCCGGGCCUU
rnacentral:rRNA from 1 species